rnacentral:lncRNA from 1 species
AGAGCGGCCAGGGAGGAAGAAGGGAGCAACUGGAGAAAGGACAGGGACCCAGCUGAGAAGGAGCAGCCGGGGGGGCAGGGGAAAGCCACAGCGAACCUUCCAGAAGGCAUGGCCACCUGGUUUCUGUGCUGUUGUCAGGGCGGACCGGGGUGGGGGCAGGUGACGCCCCAGGGCUAGCAACAGGGAGCCCCAGGACCUUGACUUGGUCUCUGGGAAGCUCUGGGAAGGGCCACCUGCUGACAGUGAUCGGGGUGGGGGCAGGGGGAUGGGAGAGGGAACCAGAGACGUUGAGUCAUAGGCAUCCUUGGUUUUGUGGAAGGACAGUGGAGAAAAGAUGCAGUGUUGCAGGGAGAUGAGGGUCCGGGGAGGCCCUGCCAUGAGGUUGGAGGGGUCAUGACGUGUCACAAUGAGCCACCAGAGGAUGCAGAGAAGGGGCUGGGGCUUCGGGGAAGCAGGAAGGACCCAGAGCCCGGGUCGGGUGCUCCUCAGAGAGACGCGGAGGAAAGGGGUGAGCAUGCAGCCUGUCUCCAGAUGCUCGUAAACAGCCGUGCCUACAGGGUGGCCACAGAGACCUUCUCGAAAACGUUGCCAAUGGCGCAGUGAUUGGCCUCUAUCUGCAAGGACCUCGAUGUCCUAUUUGGGAAAAUUGUUUAGUCAUGAGUGCAAUCUGUGUGAGAUGCAACAGCAAGCGAGGGUUGCGAGAAAUGAUCUGACUUGCAUUACAACUCCUAGGCCGGGAAGGCUCUGUUGGGUGACCGCUCCCUGUAUUUUUCCAUCAGCGGCAAAGUCGUUAGUGGCAUAAAGUGUCACUAACACGUGAAAGGAUGACCAGAGGAGAGAGACUCAUUCCACUUGACCAACCCAAACACCUGUGGAUCGGGUUAGGUGCUUCUUAUCCCUUGGUUCUGCAAGUAGGUUCUAGAAUCUCUCAAAGCAGAAUCGGGAGCAUCGCAGGGCUCCAGAAAAAUCUGCUGGCCCUACAGCGACCACAGAAAAUCCGUGACCUUCAGCGCAAGGGGCCUCCCAGCCCGUCUCCACCUCUUCUCCUUGGAACGCUCUCCAACACCCCCCGCGCAAGUCUAUGAAGACCAAGGAGAUCGCACGCCUACAAGAUGCAGACGCUUCUUGCUCUGGUCCCUGCUCUAGAAGAGAAGCCACAGACGUGAGUCACACACCCAGAGCCCUGUGUGUCUGCAGGGACCAGCUGGGCCAUCUGGUCUACCGGCCCCACAGCGCUGCGGUCACCCCCACCGCCGCUGUGCCAGCCCGCCCCGGCCAGCGCCACGGGCCCCUGGUGGGUUGAUGAGCCCACCUGCUUGUCUCCAGUGGCCACUGAGCCACCACCUCCAGCUGUGAGCCCCACGAGGACAGAGCCUCACUUACCCACUGUACCUUCCAAGACUACAACAUCUUUGGGCGUGUGGUAGGAAUUCAAUAACUACUUUGGGAUGAGCACAUGCAUAUUUACAGUGAUUACACUGGGGCAGGGGGACAAAGAAACUGAGAAAAUGAAAUUUGCUUUUCACUGAAUUCUCUGAAGUGUGAUUUUUUUUCCAAAUCUAUAGCAAACAAUGUGUUACGGAGAAUGACAAAUCCUGGAAGUAAAUAACCCUUCAUCCAAAAGGUGAUCCUGUGCUGAAAGGGCCUGUUGGGUCCUCUCAGGCCAACGGAGGAAAGGCGGGGCAGCCCGAGGAGCUUCAGCUGUGCCCCAGCCCCUUGCUCCCUUCACGGUCCCGAAACCAAUCCUAAAACAUUC